rnacentral:misc_RNA from 1 species
GCGGGAACAUCACGCGCCGACAUCACCAGCACGCCUCCUGCUGUUGUUGUUGUUGGGGGUUGUGGGGGAGUGUGCUCUCUCCUCUCUCUUUCUCCCUCGCUGGCCUUAUCAUUGCAGGAGCGCGCUCGGCUGCACGUUGGGAUUGCAGCACUUGGCAAGUGCUGCGCUCUGGCUCGCCUGCGUUGCGCGUCGCGCACAUUGUCUGUGCUUGCCCUUCGCCCGCAGCUUAGAGGUUGCACGUGGAUCAGGUACGGAAAUCAGCUCCUGACGCGUGCUCAAGCAGAGAAACAGCGACAGACACAUGUGUGCGGCGCGGUGCUGCGCAGCGCCACCAAUACGCUUACGCACAAAUGUCCAUCUACUGCCGUCUUGCGUCGCCGCCGGUGUUCCUUCGCGCACUGCACACUGUGUCUGUCAGCCGAGAUGGGUGGGCUACCGUCGUGUUCACCGACUCGCAUGUCGUCCUUCACGUCGAGGGCACGGAUGAGAACAUGACAGCGACGUGCACCCUGCCCAAGAACCUCUUCGCCGAGUACGCGGUCGUCGAGACGCGCUUCGCGCUGCACAUCCCCACAUUGAUCGAUGCGCUACUCAUGCUCGGCCCAUCCGUGGCGACGGCGUCGACCAGGGCCGUUCUCGCGUACCCGACCGACGAUGCGAAGCUGCUCGUGGAGCUGACCCCGACAGAUCGGGUUGCCGGUGGCGGCAGCUGUGGCGGUUUUUCGGGUGGUGGCCCGCUGACGCAGUCAGACCUCGGUGUCGGCGGGUCUCGCAUGCUUCAGUCGCUUCUCGUCACCCGCAACGUGCGUGACCACUUGCUAGAUCUACGCUUCUCGGAGUCGGCGCUUCUGGCGCAGGUGACACUGCAGGGCGACACGGUACGUGACCUCAUCGCCGACGUCACGGCGGCGCAGUGCGCGGAAGUGUCUAUCCGCAUUGACCCUAAGCUCGGCGUCAUUCUGCGCGGGGAGGGUGGCCCGUACGGUGAGGUGGAGGCGCACGUCCACGCCACCUCCGAGGCGCUGUUGUCGCUGUCACGUGAGCAGUUCGCCAGCACGCGCGUCUACACUCACCAUCUUGCCUUGGCGUGCGGCGCAAGGGGUGGCACGGGGGGCGGUGGUAGCAGCGGCGGCAGCGCCGGUGCCGGUGGAACUGGUGGAGGACGUCUGCGCGGCACAGGCGCCAGUGUGCGGGAUGGACGUUUGUCGAACGCCGAUUACAUCCUGAUGGGUCUCGCCGCCUCCGCCGCUGGGGCGGGUAGCAGCGGCGGAGGCGGCGGUGCGGCGGUGGGUACCCUUUUCGGCGGCUUCGAGCGGCUGACACUCCAGAUCAACGCGCAGCGGCAACUGAGUGUGCUGCACACGCAACGGGACCACGAGCUGAAGGUGUUCGUGACGGUUGUAGUGAUGCCGCUCAGCUCGGUGUACGACAUGCUGUGAAGGAGCACAUAGGGAGUGCACUGAAACGGCGCCGCUCCCACUCCCCUCUUCCUUCCCGGUGCGCUGCGGUAUUUCCGUCUUUUGGGGUACGUUUGCCUACUUGUGGUGGAGAGGCGGGUGGGCACACGACACGCAUAUCUCUCUCUCUCUGUCGCUCGCUCACACAGAUCAUCACGGCAAUCAAAUGAUGCGCGCACACACACGCACGCACACGCAGCUGCAAGCACUGACGUUCGUGGAAGUAGGAGGGCGGAUAGAGAAGGAGAGCGCCUUCGCUUAUGGACGUGCAGCGGUGCUUGUGCAGCGGAAAGGUGUGAUGCACAUCGCUCAUGGUAGUGUCAAGGUGAAGAAAAAGGUGUUCUGGCUUUUCCUGCUUCUAUCAUGCUGUCUACGCGAUACCGAGGCCACACGAGCGUGGCAGCGGUGCGUCACGGGGCAGGCGCUACAUCUCGCACGUGCCUCUCCCCUUCAUUUUCUUUCGCUGGUGCCAUCCCAGCCUGCUCGACAUUGCCACCGUCGACCCGUUGCUAAUGUCACCGCAGCGCUCUCUUCGAUUCCCCGCCUCGUGUGGCCCUCUACUCUCUCUGCAAUGCUACGCGAACUUUUCCGCCCUCUUCUCUGCAUAACACGCACACUCAG